UACGAAGGGGGCUAGCGUUGCUCGGAAUCACUGGGCGUAAAGCGCACGUAGGCGGCUUUCUAAGUCAGGGGUGAAAUCCUGGAGCUCAACUCCAGAACUGCCUUUGAUACUGGAAGACUCGAGUCCGGGAGAGGUGAGUGGAACUGCGAGUGUAGAGGUGAAAUUCGUAGAUAUUCGCAAGAACACCAGUGGCGAAGGCGGCUCACUGGCCCGGUACUGACGCUGAGGUGCGAAAGCGUGGGGAGCAAACAGG
rnacentral:rRNA from 1 species